CCUACGGGAGGCAGCAGUGAGGAAUAUUGGUCAAUGGGCGCGAGCCUGAACCAGCCAAGCCGCGUGAAGGAUGACUGCCCUACGGGUUUUAAGCUCCUUUUAUAAAGGAAUAAAGUGAGGCACGUGUGCCCUUUUGUAUGUACUUCAUGAAUAAGGAUGGGCUAACUCUGUGCCAGCAGCAGCGGUAAUACGGAGGGUCUGUGCGUUAUGCGGAUUGAUUGGGUUGAAAGGGAGGGCAGAUGGGUUGUUAAGUCAGUUGUGAAAGGUCGGGGCUCAACCGUAAAAUUGCACUUGAUACUGGCGGUCUUGAGUGCAGUUGGGGUAGGCGGAAUUCGGGGUGUAGCGGUGAAAUGCUUAGAUAUCACGAAGAACACCGAUUGCGAAGGCAGCUUACUGGACUGCAACUGACGUUGAGGCUCGAAAGUGUGGGUAGCAAACAGGAUUAGAUACCCGUGUAGUC
rnacentral:rRNA from 1 species